UACGUAGGGUGCAAGCGUUGUCCGGAAUUAUUGGGCGUAAAGAGCUCGUAGGCGGUUUGUUGCGUCGGCUGUGAAAUCCCGAGGCUCAACCUCGGGUCUGCAGUCGAUACGAGCAAACUAGAGUGUUGCAGGGGAGACUGGAAUUCCUGGUGUAGCGGUGAAAUGCGCAGAUAUCAGGAGGAACACCGGUGGCGAAGGCGGCAUCCUGGACCAUAUUGACGUGAGGCGCGAAAAGCCCAGGGGGAGCAAAACGGGG
rnacentral:rRNA from 1 species